CUUCCUGUGGAAACCUGUCCUAUGUCUGACUCACGAUGGGAAGUGCCGGUGCAAAGUCGGCGUGACGGACCUGAAGUGUGACCGGUGCAGUGAUGGGUACUACAGUGCCAACGGCACCUGCGAGCCGUGCCGGUGCAACAACCACUCCAACACCUGCGACCGCCUAACAGGCAGCUGCCUGCACUGCCAGGGCAACACGGAGGGGAAGCACUGCGAGCUCUGCAGGAGUGGUUUCUACAGGAGCGCCCACAGCUGCCAGCGCUGCCCCUGCUCCACCGUGGCAUCGACCGGCACCUGCCAGAUCCG
rnacentral:lncRNA from 1 species